GGCUCUGUUCAGGGGUUAGAGCACUGGUCUCGUAAACCAGGAGUUGUGAGUUCAAAUCUAGUUGGGGCCU
rnacentral:tRNA from 1 species